GUGGGGAGGCCGUUCUGCACCACAGAAGCUUUCAAAAAUUGCCAACCAGGAUACUUGAAGAAAUAUUUUACUUUCUCUACCUCUCAGACUAUUUCUAGAGCACCUGAUGCCUCUGUAUUCUUCAUAGAGACUUUGCUGCUCUAUCAAAUCAGACAUGCACAGAAAGCUGUCUUGGCACACAGCCUAAGAAGAUUUAAGGACUGCCAUGGGCCUCUGCUACUGAGGGAUGAGGCAAGGAGGUAAGGGGGUUGAGAGCCUGCCCACCAGAGACAGAAGUCACACAGAGUACUCAAGUCUAGCAGGAAGGUCCAAAGAGAACUUUGGUCAGAUGAAAAUUUUGCAUAAGAGACCUUCAUCUCCCAAGAAGACAGGUA